UACGAAGGGUGCAAGCGUUAAUCGGAAUUACUGGGCGUAAAGGGUGCGUAGGCGGUUCGUUAAGUCUGUCGUGAAAUCCCCGGGCUCAACCUGGGAAUGGCGAUGGAUACUGGCGAGCUAGAGUGUGUCAGAGGAUGGUGGAAUUCCCGGUGUAGCGGUGGAAUGCGUAGAGAUCGGGAGGAACAUCAGUGGCGAAGGCGGCUCACUGGCUCAUACUGGACGCUGAGGUGCGAAAGCGUGGGGAGCAAACAGG
rnacentral:rRNA from 1 species